CAGGGACAGAUCCCAGAUCUAAACCCUAGCCAAAACCCCUUGUGUUAGAGGAGCUCACCCUUUACUACUGAUGAAAGCUCCAUGAUGAAGUGCUUUCCUGGUGACACUCAGAGAUCGUUUGCUAUGUGAAUGUUUUUCUUGCUCAAAUUUCAACAAACAUGAUUCCAGACCAGACCCAUAGAAUCCUAUGGGAUCUGCUGACAUGUUUGUCUGAACUUCGUCUUCCACAUCACUGUCAAGAUAGUUUUUCUAACUCACCACUCCAAAAUCUAUGAAAAGCCUCCAUAAGCCCCUAGUUGCCCUCCAAAUUAUAACUGCAUUUGGUUCACACUUUUCCCUCCUCCUGAAAUGACUUUCCUUCUUAUUCCGCUUUUAAAAACUUUAUCACCUGCAAAAUUCACUUCAAAAAGAGCUCCCUCCAUGAAGGUUUAAUUACUCUCUUGGCCCUAAAGGAAUGACAUCUCCUGUUUGGCCUGUUCACAUUGCUGCACUGCACUGGUAACUCUUCAACAAAACCCAUUUUUACUCUUGCCUCUUAUUGUUACGUAUGUACAGGUCUUAUUGCCUCUCUCAACCUCAACUAAACUAUUUAAGAGAAGUGUACUCAUCUGUUUAUUUCCUGCUGAGUCUAGUCCAAUCUCUUAUAAUUUUUAGACCAUUAA
rnacentral:lncRNA from 1 species